rnacentral:rRNA from 1 species
AGAGUUUGAUCCUGGCUCAGAUUGAACGCUGGCGGCAUGCUUUACACAUGCAAGUCGAGCGGCAGCGCGGGGGCAACCCUGGCGGCGAGCGGCGGACGGGUGAGUAAUGCAUCGGAACGUAUCCCGUAGUGGGGGACAACCCAGCGAAAGCUGGGCUAAUACCGCAUAUGCUCUACGGAGGAAAGCAGGGGACUCGCAAGGGCCUUGUGCUAUGGGAGCGGCCGAUGUCCGAUUAGCUAGUUGGUGGGGUAAAGGCUUACCAAGGCGACGAUCGGUAGCUGGUCUGAGAGGAUGAUCAGCCACACUGGGACUGAGACACGGCCCAGACUCCUACGGGAGGCAGCAGUGGGGAAUUUUGGACAAUGGGGGCAACCCUGAUCCAGCCAUGCCGCGUGCGGGAAGAAGGCCUUCGGGUUGUAAACCGCUUUUGGUCGGGAAGAAAAGGUCUCCCCUAAUACGGGGGACUGUUGACGGUACCGGCAGAAUAAGCACCGGCUAACUACGUGCCAGCAGCCGCGGUAAUAC